GUGGCGAACGGGUGAGUAACACGUGAGUAACCUGCCCUUGACUCUGGGAUAAGCGCUGGAAACGGCGUCUAAUACCGGAUACGAGCUUCAGUCGCAUGGCUAGGAGCUGGAAAGAAUUUCGGUCAAGGAUGGACUCGCGGCCUAUCAGGUAGUUGGUGAGGUAACGGCUCACCAAGCCGACGACGGGUAGCCGGCCUGAGAGGGUGACCGGCCACACUGGGACUGAGACACGGCCCAGACUCCUACGGGAGGCAGCAGUGGGGAAUAUUGCACAAUGGGCGCAAGCCUGAUGCAGCAACGCCGCGUGAGGGACGAAGGCCUUCGGGUCGUAAACCUCUUUUAGCAGGGAAGAAGCGAAAGUGACGGUACCUGCAGAAAAAGCACCGGCUAACUACGUGCCAGCAGCCGCGGUAAUACGUAGGGUGCGAGCGUUAUCCGGAAUUAUUGGGCGUAAAGAGCUCGUAGGCGGUUUGUCACGUCUGCUGUGAAAACUGGAGGCUCAACCUCCAGCCUGCAGUGGGUACGGGCAGACUAGAGUGCGGUAGGGGAGAUUGGAAUUCCUGGUGUAGCGGUGGAAUGCGCAGAUAUCAGGAGGAACACCGAUGGCGAAGGCAGAUCUCUGGGCCGUUACUGACGCUGAGGAGCGAAAGCGUGGGGAGCGAACAGGAUUAGAUACCCUGGUA
rnacentral:rRNA from 1 species